UUCGCCCUUAGAGUUUGAUCCUGGCUCAGGACGAACGCUGGCGGCGUGCCUAACCCAUGCAAGUCGAACGAGCAGAGAUUUUCGGAUCGAAGCGAGUGGCGGACGGGUGAGUAACGCGUGAACAACCAACCCUAUACAGGGGGACAACAGUUGGAAACGACUGCUAAUACCGCAUAAGACCACAGGGCCGCAUGACCCAGGGGUCAAAGGAGGAAUCCGGUAUAGGACGGGUUCGCGUCCCAUUAGCUAGUAGGCGGGGUAACAGCCCACCUAGGCAACGAUGGGUAGCCGAGCUGAGAGGCUGAACGGCCACACUGGGACUGAGAUACGGCCCAGACUCCUACGGGAGGCAGCAGGGGGGAAUAUUGGGCAAUGGGGGAAACCCUGACCCAGCAACGCCGCGUGAAGGAAGAAGGCCUUCGGGUUGUAAACUUCUGUGACAGGGGACGAAGGAAGUGACGGUACCCUGAGAGGAAGCCCCGGCUAACUACGUGCCAGCAGCCGCGGUAAUACGUAGGGGGCGAGCGUUGUCCGGAAUUACUGGGCGUAAAGGGUGCGUAGGCGGAAUUGCAAGUCAGAUGUGAAAUACCCGGGCUUAACCCGGGGGCUGCAUUUGAAACUGCAAUCCUUGAGUGCAGGAGAGGCAAGUGGAAUUCCUAGUGUAGCGGUGAAAUGCGUAGAUAUUAGGAGGAACACCGGUGGCGAAGGCGACUUGCUGGACUGUAACUGACGCUGAGGCACGAAAGCGUGGGGAGCAAACAGGAUUAGAUACCCUGGUAGUCCACGCUGUAAACGAUGGAUACUAGGUGUGGGUGUCGAUAGGCAUCUGUGCCGUAGCAAACGCAAUAAGUAUCCCGCCUGGGGAGUACGAUCGCAAGGUUGAAACUCAAAGGAAUUGACGGGGGCCCGCACAAGCGGAGGAGCAUGUGGUUUAAUUCGAAGCAACGCGAAGAACCUUACCAAAUCUUGACAUCCCGAUGCAAAGCUAUGUAAUGUAGCUCCUUCUUCGGAACAUCGGUGACAGGUGGUGCAUGGUUGUCGUCAGCUCGUGUCGUGAGAUGUUGGGUUAAGUCCCGCAACGAGCGCAACCCUUAUCUUUAGUAGCUAGCAGUUCGGCUGAGCACUCUAGAGAGACUGCCAGGGUUAACCUGGAGGAAGGUGGGGAUGACGUCAAAUCAUCAUGCCCCUUAUGAUUUGGGCUACACACGUGCUACAAUGGCGUAAACAAAGGGAAGCGACCCUGUGAAGGUAAGCAAAUCCCAAAAAUAACGUCUCAGUUCGGAUUGUAGUCUGCAACUCGACUACAUGAAGCUGGAAUCGCUAGUAAUCGCAGAUCAGAAUGCUGCGGUGAAUACGUUCCCGGGUCUUGUACACACCGCCCGUCA
rnacentral:rRNA from 1 species